CAGCAGCCACGGUAAUACGAAGGGUGCAAGCGUUAAUCGGAAUUACUGGGCGUAAAGCGUGCGUAGGCGGUUUGUUAAGUCUGCUGUGAAAUCCCCGGGCUCAACCUGGGAAUGGCAGUGGAUACUGGCAAGCUAGAGUGUGUCAGAGGAUGGUGGAAUUCCCGGUGUAGCGGUGAAAUGCGUAGAGAUCGGGAGGAACAUCAGUGGCGAAGGCGGCCAUCUGGGGCAACACUGACGCUGAGGCACGAAAGCGUGGGGAGCAAACAGGAUUAGAUACCCGCGUAGUCCCUGUCUCUUAUAC
rnacentral:rRNA from 1 species